GCUAGUGAUGACAUCCUGCUAACUGAGCAGUUAGUAGUUGGUCCUUUGACUGCAUAUGAUGCGAUAACUUGUUUCAAGACGGGACUGAUGGCAGC